UACGUAGGGUGCAAGCGUUGUCCGGAAUUAUUGGGCGUAAAGAGCUCGUAGGCGGUUUGUCGCGUCGGCUGUGAAAACCUGAGGCUCAACCUCGGGCCUGCAGUCGAUACGGGCAAACUAGAGUUCGGUAGGGGAGACUGGAAUUCCUGGUGUAGCGGUGGAAUGCGCAGAUAUCAGGAGGAACACCGAUGGCGAAGGCAGGUCUCUGGGCCGAUACUGACGCUGAGGAGCGAAAGCGUGGGGAGCAAACAGG
rnacentral:rRNA from 1 species